rnacentral:lncRNA from 1 species
AUCUCAAGUAAAUACUUGGAAUUUGGUUAGUGCGUUGGAUAAUGAAAUAAUAAUAUUGUGAAGUGUGUGAUAUUGUUUAAAGUAAAAGAGAUGGAGAGAGAGAAAAAAAUCACACACAAGAAGUUAUCCUGGUUCCCCCAAUGUGGGUUAGUCCAGUUCCCACAAUACUGUGAGAUUAUCCACUAGGUAGUUGAGUUAAAACUUAACCUCAACUUCUGCUUUUCUUUUUAGAUCCCUUACUUGAUCUAUACAAUGUCUUUCUUUUCACCCCUUGGGCUUUGCACUAGUUUCACUUACUAGAUUUUUACAAAUAACAAUCACUAAACACUUUUAGUGAUCCUUUUCAAAUAUCUUUGCUUUUGUUGUAUAAUGUUUGAAGCCUUUGUAAAGAACUCAAGUAAAAGAGUUGCUGCUGAAUUUUUGCUACUUCUUGCGAUGAAAGAGCCUUUGAAAUAAUCUUGAUGCUUUGAGAAUCAAGUAUGAUUAUAUGUUCUUAAUGACUCAAUGCCUUUCCUCUUUGCAAGCCCUUGUAUUU